AGGAAACAGCGGCCUCGCUGAGGAGAAGAAAGGAGCCGCCCCCUUCGUCGCCAGCCCCCUCCUCACUUCCCGUCCGGCGCGCUGCUCCCUCGGGGAGCGAGCAGGAGGCGGCCCAGGCGGAGCGGGAGGAGCUGGCAGCGGGGCGCAUGCCAGGCAGCCGGGAUUGCUUACCACCUGCAGCGUGCUUUCGGAGGCGGCGGCUGGCACGGAGGCCGGGCUACAUGAGAAGCUCGACAGGGCCUGGGAUCGGGUUCCUUUCCCCAGCAGUGGGCACACUGUUCCGGGUCCCAGGAGAGGUGCCUGGCGAGGAGUCCCACCACUCGGAGUCCAGGACCAGAGAGUGUGGCCUUGACCUGAGAGGCCUCUUGGUCGGGAGCCCUGUUUCCAAGAGCUCAGCAGCCCCUGCUGUGACCUCUGUGAGAGGAACCUCAGCACACUUUGGGAUUCAGCUCGGAGGUGGCACCAGAUUGCGUGACAGGCUUAGCAGGCUGUGUGGCCCUGGGAAUGCUGGGUGGCAGCAAGAGUUUGCAGCCAUGGACAGUUCUGAGACCUUGGACGCCAGCUGGGAGGCAGCCUGCAGUGAUGGAGCAAGGCGUGUCCAGGCAGCAGGCUCUGUGCCAUCAGCAGAGUUGAGUAGCAAUAGCUGCAACCCUGGCUGUGGCCCUGAGGACCCCCCAGCCCCUCCUGGCUCUCACGGUGCCUUUGCCUCAAGCUUUAGCUUUAUUCGGCUCUCGCUUGGCUCUGCCGGGGAACGUGGAGAAGCAGAAGGCUGCCCACCAUCCAGAGAGGCCGAGUCCCCUUGCCAGAGCCCCCAGGAGAUGGGAGCCAAAGCUGCCAGCUUGGAUGGGCCUCCUAAGGACCCUCGAUGUCUCUCUCGGCCCUUCAGUCUCUUGGCUACACAGGUCUCAGAAGACUUGGCCCAGGCCGCCGGGAACAGCUCCAGGCCAGAGUGUGAGAUGCAUUCUUUACCGGACGUGGACUCUGGCUCCUCCAGUUCUCUGGAUCCCUCAUUGGCUGGCUGUGGUGGUGAUGGGAGCAGCAGAUCGGGGGAUGCCCACUCUUGGGACACCCUGCUCAGGAAAUGGGAGCCAGUGCUGCGGGACUGCCUGCUGAGAAACCAGAGGCAGGUGGAGGUAAUAUCCUUAAGAUUAAAACUUCAGAAACUUCAAGAAGAUGCAGUUGAGAAUGAUGAUUAUGAUAAAGCUGAGACAUUACAACAAAGAUUAGAAGACCUGGAACAAGAGAAAAUCAACCUGCACUUUCAGCUUCCUUCAAGGCAGCCAGCUCUUAGCAGCUUCCUGGGUCACCUGGCAGCACAAGUCCAGGCUGCCUUGCGCCGUGGGGCCACUCAGCAGGCCAGUGGAGACGACACCCACGCCUCACUCAGAACGGAGCCGAGGCUGUUGGAAUGCACUGCUCAGGACAGCUUGCACGUGUCCAUCACGAGACGAGACUGGCUUCUUCAGGAAAAGCAGCAGCUACAGAAAGAAAUCGAAGCUCUCCAAGCAAGGAUGUCUGUGCUGGAAGCCAAAGAUCAACAGCUGAGAAGGGAAAUAGAGGAGAAAGAGCAACAACUCCGGUGGCAGGGCUGCGACCUGACCCCACUGGUGGGCCGGCUGUCCCUGGGUCAGCUGCGGGAGGUCAGCAAGGCCUUGCAGGACACCCUGGCCUCAGCCGGUCAGAUUCCCUUCCAUGCAGAGCCACCGGAAACCAUAAGGAGCCUCCAGGAAAGAAUAAAAUCCCUCAACUUGUCACUUAAAGAAAUCACUACCAAGGUGUGUAUGAGUGAGAAAUUCUGCAGCACCCUGAGGAAGAAAGUUAACGAUAUUGAAACCCAACUACCAGCCUUGCUUGAAGCCAAAAUGCAUGCCAUAUCAGGAAACCAUUUCUGUACAGCUAAAGACCUCACCGAGGAGAUUAGAUCAUUAACAUCAGAGAGAGAAGGGCUGGAGGGACUCCUCAGCAAGCUGUUGGUGUUGAGUUCCAGGAAUGUCAAAAAGCUGGGAAGUGUUAAAGAAGAUUACGACAGACUGAGAAGAGAAGUGGAGCACCAGGAGACUGCCUAUGAAGCAAGUGUGAAGGAAAAUACUAUGAAGUACAUGGAAACACUUAAGGAUAAACUGUGCAGCUGCAAGUGUCCACUGCUUGGGAAAGUGUGGGAAGCUGACUUGGAAGCUUGUCGAUUGCUUAUCCAGAGCCUACAACUCCAGGAAGCCAGGGGAAGCCUGUCUGUAGAAGAUGAGAGGCAGAUGGAUGCCUUAGAGGGAGCUGUUUGUAUAGCUGCUCCUCCCAUUCCCCCCAGGCUCCACUCCGAGGAUAAAAGGAAGACCCCUUUGCAGGCAUUGGAAGAAUGGAAGGCUCACCUCAUCCCCUCUCUGUACUGUGCUGGAGGCGAACAGAAAGAGGAAUCUUACAUCCUUUCUGCAGAACUUGGAGAAAAGUGUGAAGACAUAGGCAAGAAGCUAUUGUACUUGGAAGAUCAACUUCAUACAGCAAUCCACAGUCACGAUGAAGAUCUCAUUCAUAUCCUUUUCAACUUGCAGAUUAAGCAAGACGAAGUUAUUUUAUAGAAGAAAGUCUUUAAAAGGUAGUUAUGCCUCAGAAGAUGGCAACAAAUAGAUGCUGCUGUUAUGUAUAGUGCAAAGCACCUCAGAUCUCUGAGAUUAUCAGGUCCUCCCACAGCUCCCCCCAUCUCACUGUGAACACAGCACAGCUGGACAUACUAUCAACAUGGCGCCUGUUUACUUUCUGCUGCUCUCAUAGGUAUUUAUGCCAUCCAUGAUAGCAGUGACUUUGAUUCACUCCUGUACUGCUGUGUCUAUAACAUUUGUUAACACAGAGUAGAAACUCAGGAAACAUUUGAAUGUUUGAAUGAAUGAAAGAAAGAAUGAGGAUCUCUCUCUGCACUUUUAUUUCUCCCAACUGCUUCACAGGGAUAUGUUUCCAGUGGUUUAUUUUAUAAACAUAUUGAUUUAAAUAGGAAAGCAAUGCAUUUCCAUUGUGAAUAUCACAGAAGUAUGGAAAAUAAAAAAGCUGUUUCCUUCCCAGUGCCUCUACCUGGAGAUCACUACUUUGUCCUCCUGAAGCCCUUUUCUAGACCUGUAAAUGGCUUAUCUCAAUAGUCUUUGUUUACAAAAUUAGGAUCAUUCCAUACAAAUUAUUCUAGAAUGUGCUUUCCCCCACCCCAUUGUGCAUUUUUCCCUGGGCACACUUCCAUUUCAGUACAUCCAAAAUGCUUUGUAACUCACACUUUGUAAGGGAUCAUAAAGGCAGGUUGGUUAGAGAGAAGUACUUUGCAAAUAAAAUGCGAUUUUAAUUAUUAUUUUAAUGAUUAUUAUCCCCACAGGCUCAUUAAAUGAGGUUUCUAGGAUUUCUGAUGUCCAGCCCUGCUUUGACAGAGCCUAAGGUAAUGCUGCUAUAACUUCAUGUGCGUAGCUUUUCCUUUCCUUUAAAUUAUGUCCUGUGAAGAGAGUCCCAGGAGUGAAACUACUAAAAGAUGAGAAAGAGUGGUAUAGUUGAGAUGAAAUUAGCAUUAGGAACAGAAUUGAAGACAAUGACUAGCCCAGCAAGGGCCCAUUCCUCUGCAGGGAGAAUUCUCAACCAGAUAUUGACUGGUUUAAUUGAUUUUGUGGUGUUCCUGCUCAUCAUGAAUAUAUCCACAAUAACCACAUCAGGUGAGUCACUGUUGGAUAAUUCUUAACAUUUACAAUGAGCAAUGUCGAUCCUGCAGCUAUAUCUUAUUGAUCUCCUUCGAUACCACUCUUGUUGGUCUGUGCUCCUCCUAUUUUGUCUACAGAUAAAAAGUGUAGAGUCCUGGAAGAAUCCAGGAUUUAAAGAUUAGAGAUCUGGACUGAAGUUGUCUUCUACUUAGCACUUGUAUGAUUUUAAGCUGAUCAUUUACCUUGUUGAUCCUGCAAAAUGAAGCCUGCCUUUCACGGUUGUGGAAAAACUCAAAAGAGUCAAUACAUGUGAAAAUAUUUUUUUAAAAAAAGCAACAUAUACAUACAUCCUUCAAAAUUUUUUUUUUUAAAUUUCUGCUAUAUGGAGUGAACGGGACCAAUCUAAAGCAGGACGUAACCCAGUCAAGCGAGAACACUGUACUCAACCUAGAGUACAGUGGCUCUCAAGAGGUACCUGGCAAUUCAGGUAGAUUUCUUAAUAUAAAAAGAAGUAUUUUCAAUUUCUGGUUCUGUAGACCUGCCUUCCUCAAUCUUCAGGAUGGUCUCAGACACUUGGGAGAACGUGAAUGCUUGAGAUGCAAAGUGCUUCUAUUUAAUUUCUAUUUAAUCUGCUCAGCUCAGCAAAGCUGAGGGUAAAUACUUGAAAACAUCCAAGGGUUUGUCUAGAACAGCCUCCCCAAUUUGGAGAAUUGCACACCAGCCAGAGCUUGCUUGGGAUGGCCUUAGCCACAGUCCUCCUUCCGCUGCCUGGCCCCUGCCUGUUUCACAUCCUCUGCCCCUAAGCAAUGUGGCAAAGCAGAUUCCAGUCCCUAGUGAAUUCCCCAAAGGUGCAUUUCAAUAUGAACCCCCUUGAUUUGCCAUUCUCUUUUGCCUCUACCUAACUUUAAUGACUUUUUCCUAAUUUUUACCAAUAGUUUCCACUUGGGGCUUUUAUUAUUUAGAUGUCUUCUUCUUAACUCAUAUAUUUGCAUUUCCUUUGUAGAAGAGAAGGGGAGAGUGGCAGUUCCUGAUUACUUGAGAACUUCAGGGUGAGUUCAUAGUGCUUCUAAAACACCCUCUUCAUUUACUAACCCUAAAGAGCAAGGCUGAGACGCAGGCAUUGAUUUCUGCAUUCUGUGAGGGGCUUCUGCUCCUAGCAGGACAACAACAUCUGUAACAACUACAAAGCCAGGAGCACCAGGAAUGCACACUUAGGUCUGCAUUUGUCCGAGCCUUCGGUACAUGAAAACCCCAUGCCACCAUCUUUCUUUGCCUGGAUGGAAGCAGCAGAUGCUUUGUGCUGGCCCAGAGAGUUCCUUUUUUCACAAAUGGAAUGAGUAAGAACACUUGACAGAGGAACACAAGGAGAACUGGAGGGAAGUUGAUAAUACUCACUUUGGGCAAAAAUGCUUGUUGAGGUAGGAGGAAGAUGUUUUAAAAAAUGAAAAUGAUAAUAAAUUAAUGCACUCUUACAAAAUAUGGGAGGAGGGAACGAGAAAAUAACAAUGAGGCCAGAGGGAGGCAAAUGACAUGUUGCAACCCGUGAGAAAAAAAGAAAAAAAUAACAAGUUCUUUAUGUAACGGCGUGUACCACACAAUGCACAGAAAACCAUCUCUGAUUUAUUAGUUUCCCAUGAGGGAAGUUUGGAAAUGCAAAAGGCAUGCAUUAAAGGGUUGUCUCGCUAGGCACGGUUUUGACUUUUAAGGACAAGCAUAGAAAGGCAUCUCUUCCUGAACUGAGGAGCUGGCAAUUACCAGGGAGAUGCUUGCCUUGGGAUUUCACCAGAGUAAAGGCAUCUGAAUAUUUUGUGCCUAGGAAGAUCUGAGUCCUUCCUGAUAAUGAGGAAACUGCGAGGGAGAUUCUCAGCUAGUCUGCAAAGUCAUGGUGAACUUGUUUCUUUUGUGUUCCAGUGCACUCCUUAUGUUUCUGUCCCACUAGCAGGCAGGAGGCUCUGGGGCAAGGCAGUGUCCGGGUCUCAGGCCUGGUCCUUGUUCUCAGAGUCGGCCCUAUGCCGGGUAUCCUGUACAAAGUUCCAAAGGCAGGCAGGGCACCCCUUCCUUCCAUAAGAUUUCAACCUUAGUAAAAUCUCAGCCCAAAUUUUAGGUUUGGGAGGAAAAAAAAGUCUGCCCUAAGAAUUGAUAGCCUUCUCUCAGACAGGCUUGGGGUCAAAUUUACUGACUCUGUGGUCCAGAAACCCCCAAGCUAAGAGACACAUGUGAAAAAUGGCCCUGGCAGGGGAAGGAUUGAUCUCAAGCAAGUAUCACUGGGGGAGAUUAAUUCGAGUAGCCACAAGGGGAAUUAAAAACUGAUUCAGUGGGGGAGGGUGGGGACCAACAUUAAAUCAUUUAGGUGCUCUCCCCAGCCCCACCCUCUCCCUACUCCCCCUUUCCCUCUCUUGUUAAAUCUCUUCCUUGUAGAACCAUUAUUCAUUUAUGAUGGUCAUGGGAAAUCUUCUUAGCCACUAAGAAGAUUGCUAUAAUCGCUCUCAACCUGCCUACACCCUAUUUUUCACUUUGUUAUGCUAUCAAGAAAAUAUGACUCACUCUUCCUUGAUAUUUUUUCCCAAUCAUAAUGAGAUCCCUCUCUCCUGUAGAGGAAGGAAAGGAUUUUCUUGAAUUACUGAAAGACUUUCCAAAUUAGGAAAAACAUUCACAAAGGCAGUCAGAAUGAACGCUUUCUUCCCCAGACAUUGCCUGGGGCAGGCAUGUGAUGCCCCCACGUCAGCCACACAAAGUUAUUGGGGUAAAAAUGUAUGGUUUGGUUUUGAAACAUGACAGAAAGCUGGACAGAUCUGUCAUGAUGGGCAUUUGCCACAUGCCCAUGACAAGAGGGUUAUACACAUGGACAGAAGGGCUGAAAGAUUCAUUAUUAUCUAUAUCACUACCAGAAAACUAUGAAACUUGACUAUGGAGACAUCUGUGAUAUUUCACAAGGACCCAGUACUCAGGCAUGACUGCACCGCUGGGCUCCUGUAUCACAUACUCACUCCAUAGCCUCCAUGGUACGGUUUCUGUUCCCACCACUUCAUUAACAUUCUUUUCACACAUGAGCUGCCAAAUCCAACAGCAUUUUAUCUGCCCUCAUUCCAUUCUACAUUUCAGUAGAAAUGUGCAGUGUGGAAACUAACCUCUUGCUUAUUGAACCUCCUUUUUCUCUUGGGUUCCAUGACACUCCAUUCCCAAUAGUCUUAUCCUAUAUCCAUCUUUCUGCAUGAUUACUCUUUCUUGUGCUUAAAAGAUGGAUACUCCAAGUCUCUGUCCUAGAUCUCUUCUCUCACUGGGCAAUUUAAUCUGUUCUAACAAGUUUUACAACAUGUCCAUAGUGAUUAUUCCCAAAGAUAUAAUAUUCAUUGGCGAUAUGCAUUGGACACUCACCACAUGUUAGGUACUGGAUUGAAUGCAAAAUUCAAAGUUGUGUAUGGUUCAGUACCCUCUAAUCAUUCUCCAGUUAUGCCUUCUUUUCUGAGCUUUGAUUCUGCUGGACAUUUCCAUCACCACUGUUACUGAACUGAACUCGAGUUUGCCCACCUGGGGCAGCAAAGUCAAACACUGACAUUGGGAUUUGCAGGGAGACAACAUGAGGCAUUUAUUGUGGAGCAUCAGGUGAGGACUAUCAGACAGCUCAUGCUUAAGACCCCAACUCCCAGAUGGCUUAUGAAUAAGGGUGUUUGUUUGUUUGUUUGUUUGUUUGUUUGUUUUGAGACACAGUUUUGCUCUUGUUGCCCAGGCUAGAGUGC